AAGAGUUAUUCCAAGGACCAUAACUAUUCCAGUGAUCAUGGUGAUUGGAGUCUGUAUGUAUGUGCAGCAUUUUGCUAUGCACAUAGAGAUAUAAUCCUUUGCUUGCAGAGAUGUAACUCCACCUCUGGCAACAUAAUAAGCCAGUAGAAGGGCUGGCUAAUGUCAAUUCUAUGCAUAUUGGACAUCUGUCAUCAGCACUCUUACCAUGCAGGCAACCAAUGGCAGCACAGCCCACCCUUGUAGACAUAG